CCCCCUGUCUUCCAAGCAGCAUGUGAUCCCUCCAGAUCCUUCAAAUUGGCCCAUGUUUGUGGCUGGUCAGUAGCACAGAGCAUGACCUCUGAGUUUUGUCCCCCGAGCCGAACAGAGGGGCUAACCCGGGUGUGUCUGGAACUUUUCCUCCCUCCACACAAAGGUCCUCUAUUGUGAUGUGGAGCAAUCAUCUGUCAUUGCCUAGCAACUGAAGCCCCUGUCUACACUUAAGGAGAACCCACCUGCCGGAGGCCGUCUUUCCCCAUCUCCUCAGACGCUUGGACGCAGCCACGUUUCGAGUUUCCUGUUAAUCAGAUGUCUCCAGCCCACACUUUGGAAAGAAAGUUCCUGACAACUUCUCUGCUACAUUAGCCAGAUUGAGUUCGUGUUGUGUGAAAUAAAAGCCUUGACUGACAGGUUAA